AGCAACACAGGCAAGAUGCCACCGGGCUGGGGACACCCUUUGUGUCAAGAGAGAGGAGGCAGGAGGAGGAGCAUGUACAGGAGAAGCAGGUGGACUGCCUGAGGCCUCCUCCAGAGGAAAGGGGAGGGUCCCAACAGCCUUUCCCCUUAGCUGGCUAACCUCAGACACACCCAAACUUCAAAGUUCACCCUGGAAGUGGCUUGAGGUGUACCCCUGCACGGCUAGGCCCAGUUCAGUCCCCCGAGACCUCUGGGCGUGGAACUGCAGCAGCAAACCUGGAGAGGCCUAGAGAAACAGAGAAGGGCGUUUCCUGUGUGUGGAGUGAGGUCUCCCCAGAAGCAUCCACAGGUGUCAAUCAAUACUCUCAGCUGGAGAAACCGGCAGGUGGCCAGGAUACAGGAAGAGGGCAUCGCAGGGCCAAGACCUAGGCAAGCCUUACUCUGAGGGUAAGCCUUCGUGGGAAAGGCUGUCUGUGGGAGUCCCUAGCCACUUCCCCAGGGAUUGGUCACUUGUAAAUUCCGCCUGGAGAGAGGGUGUGUGUUUACAAGGACAGCCUGACUGUCUCUGACCUCACUUCCACUCCCACAGUAGGUGGCUGACACACUGUGCUAUCGCACACAGUUCUGCAGAAGACAGGUCUGUCUGCCCAAGCCCUCACGCCUACCUUCUUCCCACCCUGUGAGACUCUGAAGGAAGCCAGGCCCCAGAGGCGCAGCUAGCCUGCAACCUGUCAUGUGUUCUUUACAAACUGUGGAAAGCUGGGUGGAGGAGACAGACCCUGGGACUCUGACAGUUACUGAAGCUCAACUCAACGUUGAAGAUCCCGCCCAAAGCUCCCCUCUUCACAGACAAGCCUUGGCCAGGAAGUCCUGGAGCAGGCAUACCCCUCCCUGUCUACCCACGACACCAUGGCCCUGCCCUUCAGGGCCUCCUGCAGCCUGCUCUGUGAUCUGACCAACGACACCUCCACUCCACCUCCAACAGGCAUGGAUCUCGCCCAGCAGGAAUGUUUAGCAUGUAACAGGUGUUUAGCUCAAUGUUUAUAAAAUGAACACACAGGUUAACUGAUUAAAAGCCUGAAGACACCA